AGGCCUUGUGGUGCUGCUGCUCUGUGGGGGAGUUGGGGCAGGUGCUGCUGUCAUGAGGUCCCGUGCACUUUGUCAUCCCAGGACAAAACCCAGAAUUUUCCUUGAAGUGCUUAUGGACAGCAGGAUUUUCUGUUUGUGGAUAAACACAAGAAGCAACAAGCCUGUGGUUCUGAAUGGCCUAGGAACUCUUCUUCCCAGAGAUAGGAAAACCUUGACAGUGUUCAGGAGCUCAGACAGAAUGGGUUUGCUCUACCUCUGGGCUGGAGGAAACUUCUUUUCGUUGCCCUGGAAACAUGGAGAUGGCAGAUCCGUCGUUCAUUGGCAAGUGGGAGAGGAUGAGAGAAAAGCAGAUGACAGAGAAGCACGUGGAAACAAGAGAGUACAAGUGGUACCCUGGGGUGCCUUGCAGCAGACUUCUACGCCCAUUCUCUCCCUGAUAGCUUCAAAGAUGCUCUGGAAUAAUAAUGCACAAAUAUACGACGUGGUCGUAAGGACUGUGUUCUGACUGUAUUCUGACCCUCCUUUACACCCGUGUGCAUCAGGAGCAGCACAGCAAACAGGCAGCAGCAACAGGCAUUGCAACAAACAGGCGGCAGCGUCAGGCAGCCCUGGCCAGGUCCCCGGUGUUGGUCUGGCACGAACCUGGGAGCUGCUUCAGGUUUACACCAAGGUUUCACCAAAGCCCCAUCAUUGGCGAAGGUCUGACCACAGUGACCUCCUGCACACCUCACACCACUAAAUCUCAGUGCUCCGAGAAGAACCUGAAGGCAUGUGAGAUGUUCAGCUCUCUGCUGUCUUUCAGUGUGCAGACUCACCUUUUCACCCAAGGAAGGAACUGAUGUCACCACCUGGAGAUCUGCAACAUCUCUGGGAGGAUCUGCGUGCCUGUGAUCACAGCAGAGUGCGACUGCAGCAGCCAGUGGCUUCCCAGGAAGAAGAGGGCUUUGGGAUGGGUGGUACCUGGAUUUACUUUCCACAGGACUGCACAGAAACAGGACCUGACCUUAACCGAGAGACAAGCCAGGACCUGGAGCAGCCCCAGCCGCGUGACACAGGCACAGACAUGCCAGCAGCCACCUCCUCACCCUGCCCUGGUUUGUAUUGCAGUCAGUCCCUGGGAGAAAAUAGAAAUUCAUCACAAUGAGCAACACAGAGGCUUGGCUCGGUAGUGUCAUUUAAUGCCUGAUAAUCCCUCAUCCCAAUUUGCUUCAAUUUAUUAGAUGUCCCUGGAAACAGGUGUGAUGGAAAUACCAUGGAAACGUGAGACAAGUGGAGCCAUCAGUUCACAGCCUCUCCAGCAGCAGUUUCAUCAGGGAGAGCAGAGCUGACAUCACAUGGGCACCUCCCUCUCCUCCCUCCUUCAUGUCGAGCCCAAAGACAGCCCCACGCUGCAGCCUAAGGGGCACUUUUCAUCAGGACUGGAGUGGGAAUUGUGUCCACAACUGUCAGCACCAACAGCCCUCCCAAAGUAAUCCCAACUUGGGCAGAAAGGGGCAGAUUAAAUUGCCCGAGCUAAGCUGCUUGCAUCUGGAGACACCCAGUAGGGUGUUGCUUCCCUCUCCCCAGCCCUUACGCUUCAGCAGUGCCACUUGGCUCAGAUAAUUUACUUUUAAUAGUCUGGUUACAAAUGAGAUUGCAAAGGAAGCACGUGAUUCUGAACUGGGAUUUCUGAGUCACAUUCUCAUUUCCCCCUAGUGCCUCCUAGGCCUCUAAUAAACUACAAAGAGACAUUAAGAAAACAAUAAGAACUCCUUAUCUACUGAGACUGGGGAGCAGGAACAGUGAGCCGGCAAUAAUGGAUUCUGCGUAUCUGCAGUACGUUCCUGUGGCAGCAACUGAACGAGGGGAAUGGGAAGUUCGAGUGCUCAGGACAUGGACUGCCCAGAUCAGUUGGCCAGCAGUGUGUAGACAGCAGGUUUCUGCAGCGACCCACAAAAUGUGUUCUCCCUGCUUGACCCAUCCCACUGCGUUUCUGACUGCACUUGGACAUGGUGAAGAUUGGUAGCAUUGAGCUCAGAUCCCAGUCAAGAAAUUUGAAAUUGGAUUUGAGGGAAAGAAAACAAAAACAAAAUGCAAUCAACAGGGACAGGGAAGAAAAGAGUUGCUGAAGAGUGUGAGCCUCCAGAAGCUGGAAUAGGAAAGAACAGAACCAUUCAAGCAUCCCCUGGUAUGGUGUUCCUUCCUCAAGUCCCUGCAAUUGGUCUGGUCCUGCGUCUCACUAAGCACACCCUUCUUGUGCCAUCUCUCAGGUCGUACUAAAUAACGUCGUGUUCAGAGUCCCUUCUGAACAUCUCCCUGAGUGGUACUGAGGGAUCCAUUGCCACCAUGGCCAAACCUGAUUUCUGACAGCUCCAUGUUCACAAUGAAUCUCACGUCCAUGCUGAAAUAGAUCUCUGCCUAAUUGAAGUAUUGCUCGUAUCCUCCUCUGACACGUGAGCAGAAAUAGCAUCACGGGGCUGCAGGCUCACCAUGCAGAAAGGCGACAGCAGAGGCCUCGGGAGCAAGCACUGCUUCAGUAGAUGCAGUGAUACCUCCAAAAGGAAGGAAGCGAUGCCCGCCCCAGGAGCUGGCUGUAAUUGGACGAUCCCGCAAGGCAGACUCUGGCAGUCACAAGAUGAUACUUCAGAGCAAACAUCAUCAAGAUAAGGAAGUCUUUUUUUUUUCUUUUUCUCAAAAAGAUCAAGUCACUCUUAUCUUGUAGGUAAUUUCCUGCAGCCCAUAUUACAGGAAUUAAUUCCCUCAUCCAUUCUUCUCAACACAGACUGGUAUUUUCAGACCAAAGUACUGCAAGAUAGUUGUCCUAAGACACUGCUCUUCAUUAAAAAGGGCAUUUUCUUGCCUAUUAGGUAGUGAAACAAAUAGACAGAUUUUCAGAUAUGGCAGCAGUCAGCUCCCAUUGAGAACAGGAGAUGUGUCCCCUCUCCCAGUGAGAAACAAGAAGAUUUCUGCCCAUUUUUCUCACCCCUUUCUCUUUUCUCUCCCCAGUACAUUAUAUGUUCACCAAGAACAGCAGCAAAUGUCUUCAGCUGUUCUACAGCCAAUGGAGAUUUCCCUGUGCACUUGAAUGGAAAUGAAGCUUCUGCUAGCAAGUGUUCCUUUCCAGAUUCAGUCAUUGUAAAGGACCCAAAUAAGGAGAUGAUGGAGUGGCGAGGAUUCCUCUAGUGAGUCUGUUCCAGCUCAUUCCUUACAAAGGCUGCGUGUGAAAGAUAGAGGCCCACAGAUCUGGGUUUUGUCCAGGGGUCUCCAGGUUUAAAGCUCCCCACAGCCGCUUCAGCUCAGUUUCCCUGUGACUCGGCUGGGCACGACUUCUUUCUCUGCCCCAAAAACAUAAAGCUUUUCUCUUCAGAACUUUUUUGGUUGCGUGACAAACUCAGCCUAUCCUUUAGCAAAAAUGGAAGCUAUCAAGAAAAAGAUGCAGAUGUUGAAGCUGGACAAGGAGAAUGCAAUUGAUAGAGCAGAGCAGGCUGAAACGGAUAAGAAGGCAGCUGAGGACAAAUGCAAACAGAUUGCCAUGUGCAUUAUUAUUUGGCCAAGUGUUUCUUCUGUCCAAUCUGAGAUCUUUGGGUGAUAUAAUUACAUUUUUAAUUGGCCAACCGUGCAGCUGAAGCACCGCAAAAAAAAAAAAAAAAAAAGUUUCCAAAAGGAUCAGCUGCUGCCACCUUCCCGCUCCACCCCAGCUCACAGAAAGCGCCUCAUCUCUUUGUUGCACUCAGAGCUGCUCCAGGCUCCACGCAGCACCACGUGAACGCGGUUGCUGUUUCUUCCAUAGCCUGAGAGGUGCUGCUCAGAUGUGGUUCUGCUGGGCCACACUGAUCCCCUUACUGCACUCAUAACAGCCCCAGCAGAUGGUUACUCAGAGCCGUUAGUGGUGAUAGAAUGCUCAGCCCUCCUUUGCAUGUAGUUAGCAAAGGUGACUUCCUACAGACUGAACAGCAUGUCUUCGGGAACUGUUAAGUAUGAGGGUAGUCUGCAAUAAAAAGCAACAAAGAGAAAAUAAGGCUUUGAUCUUUCUUCUCUUUUCUGAAUUGUCCCCAAUUUUUCACCUCUUUUAUUAGAUUUUUAAUACAGACACACACACCGUGGUAAGGAUUUUAAUGUCAUACACGAAGGAAGCACCACUUCUCCUGCCUGCUGUUCCCUGCUGAAGCAUCCAGGGGAGCGUGUUCAGUCC
rnacentral:lncRNA from 1 species